CCUACGGGGUGCAGCAGUGGGGAAUAUUGCACAAUGGGGGAAACCCUGAUGCAGCGACGCCGCGUGAGUGAAGAAGUAUUUCGGUAUGUAAAGCUCUAUCAGCAGGGAAGAAGCAAGACGGUACCCGACUAAGAAGCCCCGGCUAACUACGGGUCAGCAGCCGCGGUAAUACGUAGGGGGCAAGCGUUAUCCGGAGUUACUGGGUGUAAAGGGAGCGUAGACGGUCCUGCAAGCCAGAUGUGAAAACCCGGGGCUCAACCCCGGGACUGCAUUUGGAACUGUAAGGCUAGAGUGUCGGAGAGGCAAGCGGAAUUCCUAGUGUAGCGGUGAAAUGCGUAGAUAUUAGGAGGAACACCAGUGGCGAAGGCGGCCUGCUGGACGAUGACUGACGUUGAGGCUCGAAAGCGUGGAGAGCAAACAGGAUUAGAUACCCUGGUAGUC
rnacentral:rRNA from 1 species